GAUGAACGCUGGCGGCGUGCCUAAUACAUGCAAGUCGAGCGAACAGACGAGGAGCUUGCUCCUCUGACGUUAGCGGCGGACGGGUGAGUAACACGUGGAUAACCUACCUAUAAGACUGGGAUAACUUCGGGAAACCGGAGCUAAUACCGGAUAAUAUAUUGAACCGCAUGGUUCAAUAGUGAAAGACGGUUUUGCUGUCACUUAUAGAUGGAUCCGCGCCGCAUUAGCUAGUUGGUAAGGUAACGGCUUACCAAGGCGACGAUGCGUAGCCGACCUGAGAGGAUGAUCAGCCACACUGGAACUGAGACACGGUCCAGACUCCUACGGGAGGCAGCAGUAGGGAAUCUUCCGCAAUGGGCGAAAGCCUGACGGAGCAACGCCGCGUGAGUGAUGAAGGUCUUCGGAUCGUAAAACUCUGUUAUUAGGGAAGAACAAAUGUGUAAGUAACUAUGCACGUCUUGACGGUACCUAAUCAGAAAGCCACGGCUAACUACGUG
rnacentral:rRNA from 1 species